rnacentral:rRNA from 1 species
AACGAACGCUGGCGGCAUACCUAACACAUGCAAGUCGAACGAGACCUUCGGGUCUAGUGGCGCACGGGUGCGUAACGCGUGGGAACCUGCCCUUAGGUUCGGAAUAACUCCCCGAAAGGGGUGCUAAUACCGGAUAAUGUCUUCGGACCAAAGAUUUAUCGCCUUUGGAUGGGCCCGCGUUGGAUUAGCUAGUUGGUAGGGUAAAAGCCUACCAAGGCGACGAUCCAUAGCUGGUCUGAGAGGAUGAUCAGCCACACUGGGACUGAGACACGGCCCAGACUCCUACGGGAGGCAGCAGUAGGGAAUAUUGGACAAUGGGCGAAAGCCUGAUCCAGCAAUGCCGCGUGAGUGAUGAAGGCCUUAGGGUUGUAAAGCUCUUUUACCCGGGAUGAUAAUGACAGUACCGGGAGAAUAAGCUCCGGCUAACUCCGUG